CACUUCUGUUGUAUGUUUCAUAUGAACACAUAUUCUGUUCAUAUUCUGUUGCCUGUUUCAUAUGAACACCUGAGGGCAUAAACAGUAUUCUGAAAAAGGUUUUAGUAUCUUUACUAACAUUUCUAGCUUUUAGCAUCACAGUUGAUAAUACUUAACUGGUGCCUAGUAAGUCACUUAAUAAUAAUGAGCUGUUAUUUGCAAAAAUUGCAGAUUUUAUUUACAAGUUUUGAUGUUUUUUAAAGAAGUCACACUGCUCCUCCGAGCUAGCUUCAGUUCCCAGAUUCUUUCUUUCCUGUGUGUCGCAUCACUGCUUGAURGUAUGGGCACAGCUUCAAGCCCAAGCAAUGGUAAGGUGCUUAGAAAUGCCUGGAUGGGAGGUUUAUAUCUUUAGCUUGUUAUUAAAGACUGUUUUGAAAACUCACUAAACAGAAUUUCAGGAGAAAUCAGCUUGAAUUGUGAGAUGGCAGCAAAAUGGUCACAGCUGAGUCUUAGCUACUGAAGUGUCUGUCUGCUCUGGAAGCUAUUUGUAUUAUGUCAAGUGAGAAUGUAGUGGGUUUUGCUGAAGAUUUGCUAUUCAUGUCUCACAUUCAUUUAGGAGCAAGAUCACUGAAAUGAGCUGUUUGUUCUUGAAAGCUGCCAGCAGAGGAUGCUGGCAGGUGAACUCUGAGAACUGGGAAAAGAUGUCUUCAGUAAGCAGGACCUGGGCACUGCUUAUAAUGUCCUUUCUGCACAUCAGAAGAUCCCGACGAGCUGAUCCUCAGAGAAAAGUUCCAAGGCUGAGAAUGUGAUCCAAGAAGGGCAGUGGAAUGUGGCAAAUGGACAGAGACUGCACUCUCCUGCUAGACAACUGCACAAGACCUAUGAAAGUUUGCAGCUUGCUGUUGGAAAGCAUACAACCAUGCCAGAGAACACUGUGCCGUACUGCAAGAACAAAAACAUCUACCCAAGGACACUAGUUCAAAGCAUUUGAUUACAAUCAGYAAUUGCUCUAGAUUUGGUAUGUGACAAAUGUAUUUCUACUAUUUUUGGGUUUAAGWGUGUAACAAAGUUGAAGGAAAGGCUGUUAUAUCUGUGAGGCUUAAUGAAGCUUGAUACCAACAUACUUUCUCUGUUACAGGAAAGAAAAGAGGAACAUCCUUCUCAUGUCAAGGUUUAAUUUUGAGGUACGUGACACUGGAUUUACAAAGGUAAAUAAGAAUACAUUCUGAGAAACAGCAAGUGCCCUAAUCCCUCUAAUUUCCAACUCCAAACAGCUGAGAAAAGAAAUUGCUCACAGUAUGAAAAAGUAUYUGGGRUCUGUCUUUGACAUGGGCUUUUGUCAUAACAGAUGAUGAAGGAUGUACAGUAGUGGGGCAGAGGAAAUACAAAUACUUAGGUGAUAAAGACAACAGGUAUUAAAUAAGGCUUCCAGUUGAACUUAUUAUUUGAGACAUUAUUAUUAUGGUCAGAAAUCAGAUGUAACUAUUGUUCCAAACAGUGAUCAGGCAAACUACAUUGCCAAAAUUAAACAGCUGUUGAGACAGACUUCACCUUGAGCCUGCUGAUGAUAUGCAUGUAGCAACCACAUACAWAUGAAAUCCCAGUAAUACAGAAGGACUAGAAGUGAUACAGAAGAGUCUUCCACAUCAACUKUACCUGACACCAAGAGCACCGGCUAUCACCAGGAGCACAGUGCACAUAACAGUUUCUACAAGUGUGCCAUCUACAGUUAAUCUACAAUUUUCAUCCUAAAUACGAAUUAAAAAAGCCAAGUAUGAAUCAUAUGCAGGCAGAUUUAAUGACUCAUUGCUGCAAUGGAUUUAACAACAAGUGCUGAUCCUGCCUGCCAUUAAGAUGUCUGGCAUUCCCUCUUGGACCCAUUCUUUUGGAAGGGAGCCCUUUCAUAGAUCRGUGCUAGACAGCUGAGCUAAAAACAGUUAAAUGAGAUUKAAAGAUUUUUUUUUUWAAAAAAAAGGURCUGUUUUAUCACACAAUGAAUAAAAUUCCAGGAAUUUAUUGCUAUAUGUAUGCUUAAUCCAUUAAAUCGUCUUACAGUAGUCAUGAAGUGCCAAAUUGUGUGCUACAUUUAACAUUCCAUGUAUCUCCUUCCAAAUGCCGUUUUACAGUGGGCGUAUGAAASAACGCAGCAGUGGUCACAAAACAUGGCUUGAGCAUCUCUCAAGAGCUUAAAGACAAAGAUUUGUGUACAAGCUGAAUAACAACAUGUCAGUUAACAGGUCACUCAGCAAUUUUAACAGAAAUAUCUUUAGGUGGAAGUUUUGCAGCGUUAAGAUUCACAACUCAGACUAAACAUUCUCAUCCCCACUGUAGAAACAAGAUACUUGCAAAGAACAAGAACUAUGGUACGUAAAUGUCACACGCAAGACCCGCUUCAUUUCUGUCAGAAGCAAAAAUUGRUAAUUAUAAGCAAGGACAAGCCUAGCAGGGUAAGGCUGUCAGCCUGUAUUAAAAACAUAUACCUCAGAGUUUGGCAGUGGAACUCUAUUUACCACCUUGACUUUUUUUUUUUGGUAACGUUACAAGGUCUCUUCCUCCCCUCCCACACUUUAUAAAUCCCCUUUUAUUUUUAUUAUACCUCCAUAUUAUUUACAGGACUCCUAAAGAUUAAGUACAAACUAGUAUGAAAUUAAUGAUAGCUUGCUUUUCAAAUAUGUAUCCCAUGGCUAAAUAAAUACCAAGCCAAUCCAAAAGUGAUCUGGAGUUAUGAUUCAGAAGCUUGUGUAUCUGUGAUUCCAGUUGUUUUCUCAUUAGCUGUGGAGGAUUCAUUUGAUCUGUCAACAAUAGUUGCCCUGGAAGUUGGAGUAGCACUAUCCAAGGUGACUGCAGAGGUCUGUUCUACCUUUACA